GAUGAACGCUGGCGGCGUGCCUAAUACAUGCAAGUCGAGCGAACAGACGAGGAUCUUGCUUCUCUUACGUUAGCGGCGGACGGGUGAGUAACACGUGGAUAACCUACCUAUAAGACUGGGAUAACUUCGGGAAACCGGAUCUAAUACCGGUUAACAUGUUGAACCGCAUGGUUCAUCAGAGAACGCCGUUCUUGCUGUCACUUAUAGAUGGAUCCUCGCCGCAUUAGCUAGUUGGUAAGGUAACGGCUUACCAAGGCGACGAUGCGUAGCCGACCUGAGAGGAUGAUCGGCCACACUGGAACUGAGACACGGUCCAGACUCCUACGGGAGGCAGCAGUAGGGAAUCUUCCGCAAUGGGCGAAAGCCUGACGGAGCAACGCCGCGUGAGUGAAGAAGGUCUUCGGAUCGUAAAACUCUGUUAUUAGGGAAGAACAAAUGUGUAAGUAACUAUGCACGUCCUGACGGUACCUAAUCAGAAAGCCACGGCUAACUACGUG
rnacentral:rRNA from 1 species